UCGGACGAACACUCGAGGGGGUAGAGCACUGGAUGGGCUAGGGCCGCCCACAGCGGUACCGCACUCAACCAAACUCCGAAUACGCACGAGCACUACUCGGGAGACACACGGCGGGUGCUAACGUCCGUCGUGAAGAGGGAAACAACCCAGACCGCCAGCUAAGGUCCCCAAGUUCCAGUUAAGUGGGAAACGAUGUGGGAAGGCUCAGACAGCUAGGAGGUUGGCUUAGAAGCAGCCAUCCUUUAAAGAAAGCGUAAUAGCUCACUAGUCGAGU
rnacentral:rRNA from 1 species